rnacentral:lncRNA from 1 species
AACGUUCACGAUAGGGUUUUCUAUGAACCUGAUUGGUCAACCAUCUCCCUAGAUAUCUAGUGAGACUGUCACCUUAUCUGUUUUUCUGCAGUCUCCGUUACCAAGUUGUACAUAAUCACAUAAACAAUAAACAUGCACCCGGUAAUACAAUCAUAUUGUAAAUUCUAAAAUCACACAGUGAUCAAGUAAGACAGUAAUACAUGC